ensembl:lncRNA
GCAUUUGAAGUACUGUUAUUUCCUGUGAAAGUAGACAUACAUUUGGUACUCUGAUUAGACAAGUCUCACUCCCUGUGCAUUAUUCUGGUUACAGUUUUGCACAGUUCUGGGGGAAAUACAGUAUGAGGACUAUUACUGACAGUUAAGUGUCCAAAUUAAUUUGUAAAACAUUAUAUUUCAUGUUAAUUGGUAUGUAUGAACAACAUGCAGAUUUUAGUAAAUAUAACUUUGGCAGUAAGAAAUAUCCCAGAAAAAGCAGGAACUCUUCUUGUAUUGUUUUUCUAACGAUGUUGUUAUUUUUCUUCUACUUCACUCCUGUAGUAUUUUGUGUGCCCACACUGACGCAGGGAUCAGGCUCAACUAGAAGUCAAACAGGAUCACUCAUAUCAUUUCCCUCAGCUGGUACCACUUCACCUUUUAACAGUAACACAAAAGACAUCUUCAAUUCUAUAGUCUAAUGGGUAAGACCAAUACAAGUUCAUGUCAGAUGGAUGGAUGUGCAGGAUUACAGAGUGAUAGGGUUUUUUUUAUAUUUAAAAACACCUUCAGCUUGUAAAAAUCAUCCAUAGUUGGUAACUUUUCAGGCAGGUCCAUGUCACAAACACCAAGCAAGAUAUCUUGAUUGUUACUACAUCGAAAUAAAAAUGUAUUCUCUAACCAGAAAAUGAUGAUUAGAUCAUUAGAAUGACUGAGUAAGACAUGCCAUUUUAAUUUCUAAUCUUGGACAGAUUGCAAAUGCACUGUUCCAAAAAAGUUAAUGAAACACUUAAAUAACAUAUAAGAUUUUGAUGAAUGAAUUGAAAAAGUUGAAAAUCUUCUCUAAUGUAAAUUGUAUAUUUUUUUUGUUUAGAGCAACGGGAUAUAGAAAGCUGUAAAUAGAAACGAAAAUCACCAACCCAUGGACUAACUGAGAAGUGUGUACGACCCUCACAUACCUGUACAUACUCUCAACAAUGUCUGAGUAUGCUAUUGAUGUGAGAUCCUGUAGAAUCUCCUCCCAGAUCAUGACUUCAGUGAGCUCCAGGACAGUGUGUGGUGGUACUUUAUGCAUAAUGCCCAAUAGGUGCUGGAUCAUAUUUAGGUCAGGGGACGUGAGGCCAACCAGUGGCAUCAUUGCCGCCAUCAUCCUGAAAUUGACACAAGACUCGACAGUCCUCGACAGGAGGAACCCAGGGCCCAUUGCACCAGUGUGACAGUCACCAUGAGGAUUUCAUCCCGGUACCUUACAACAGUCAGGGUACUGUUGGUCAUAACAUGGUACUGUAUGUGCACCCUUCCAAGGAUAUGCUUCCCAGACCAUCACUGACCCACCGCCAAACCAGUCAUGCUUUAACAUUACAGGCAGCAAAAUCUUCUCUUUGGCAUCUCCAGACUCUUUUCAAAGUUGAAUUUUAAUGUUCUCAGAGGAAUAUCAGUCACGCUGUGCAGUCUGUGAGCACAGGUCAACACUGGAGGGCAUCAGGCUUUCUAUGUCUCACAAUUUGGACAAAGGCAUUCACACUAGUAGCCUUCUGGAGGACUUAAAUUUUGUUUCCUUGCCUUGUUCCUCACGUUUAAGUAGCUUUGGAUAAAAGCGUCUGCUAAAUGACUAAAUGUAAAUGUGUAAGGCUCUCACCAUACUUUGCACAAAGGAUCAGCUGGUCCUGCUGAUGGGUUAAGAACUUUCUACCCGGUCUAGCUCCCCCAGAGCAACUGCCUGUCUCCUGGUGUCCAUGCUCUUGAGACUGAGUAGUAACACGGGCACUAGCAAAACACACUCGAGAGAAGAAUCGGUGAGGUAUGAUGAGGCAUUUGUCACGUAAUGUAAAGUUUUUAUGCUUCCAGUGGUUACAUCACUUUUGCCUCUGUUUUAACUGUUGUCUCCUUCAUUUGCUCCUUCCCUCAUGUCUCAUAUAAGUUUAACUGUUUAAUUUUAGUUUGUAUUUUUUUUUUUAUAUAGACUAAUGUUUUCAAAAAAUGUUUUUACACUAGUUUGGAAGUAUUUGUUGACGGACAUAUGCAGUAUGAAUCUAUGAUAAUAAAAAAAAUAUUUACAUGUUCUGUUGUAACAGACAUUUUGUAGAGCAAUAUGAAGCUAUAAUUUGUGUGAUUUAUAUUUCUUCUGUGCACUAACUGUGUCCCAGGGGUUUCAGAGAGAGAUCUGACUGAAGGAGGAGCUUCAAAAGACUAAAGUAAAAAAGAAGUUAAAAGUAAAAAGUUACACUUAGUGUUUAGUAACAAGAUACAAUUCAAAAUAAGGAAGUAAGAGUUACUUUAUGUUCAGCAAUGUCAAUUCACAAGCUUUUUCAGUCUUAUAUGCAUAUGUGUGCACCAGUAUACAUAUAUGUAGAAAUCUGUAAGUGAUCCAUUUGUACGUGUGUAAGUGUCUGGAGAUUUAUAGGGACAGUAGACUUUGAGCCUUAUUUACCUACCAUCGUCCUAAGAGUUUUUUUAAAGCUCCUGUUAUGACACACUCUAACAUAGCAUUUUUUGUACCUUUAAUUGUUAUACUCAUUAAUUCAACUGUCUUUGCAGAAACAUUCUUGUUGUUCUUGUUUGUCAUUAACCUCCCACCAAAGCACAAAAAAAUAGACGAGUAGAUCUGAAACUGAGGCACAGCUGCAGGAAGUGAGCAGAAAACAACCUUCAUAAUUAGUAGCAUCAUUAAUGGAUGUAAAAUAAAACUAACGCAUGAGAUGCAUUUGUUCAUUCAAUGAAUGUUGCAUGUGAAGAACGAUGCACAGCUGAGAAAAUGAAACAAAAUAUCUGAUGUCAAUUUAAAAUAUAAAGCUGAGUGAGUCUGCUGUGAGGUGGUGUUCAUCUUGUGGUGGUUCAUGAGGAAGUGGCGCAUCACGUUUUAUAGGGUUGGGUGCAAAGUAAGCAGACGUGAUAGUGUAGUGUU